rnacentral:rRNA from 1 species
GUACACGCUGUGACUAGCAUAUCAAUAAGCGGAGGAAAAGAAACUAACAAGGAUUCCCCUAGUAACGGCGAGUGAAGCGGGAAGAGCUCAAAUUUGAAAUCUUAAAGGGUUUCCCUUUACGAAUUGUAGUUUAAAGAAGUGUUUUCUGUUGAGGUUUUGGUAAAAGUUCUUUGGAAUAGGACAUCAUAGAGGGUGAGAAUCCCGUAUUUGACCUUUACUUUCAACUUUGUGAUACACUUUCAAAGAGUCGGAUUGUUUGGGAAUGCAGUCCAAAAUGGGUGGUAAAUUUCAUCUAAAGCUAAAUAUUGGCGAGAGACCGAUAGCGAACAAGUACCGUGAGGGAAAGAUGAAAAGAACUUUGAAAAGAGAGUUAAACAGUACGUGAAAUUGUCAAAAGGGAAGCGUUUGACACCAGUGUUGUUUUUCUGAAAAUCAGUUAAAGAACUGUUUAUGCUAAGUUGUUUAGACUUUAUCAGCUAACUGUUUAGUUUUGAGCUUUUCUUUAAUGCACUUUUCAGUUAACAAGUCAACAUCAAUUUCUUUUGCUGUAAAAAAGCUUGAGGAAGGUGGCUUGAGAUUCGUCUUAAGUGUUUAUAGCCUCUCGCCUAUGCAGUCGGAGAGAUUGAGGUCUGCAGCGUAGAUCCUUCGGGGCUAAAUGCAUUUGUGCUAAGUUAUAACAUUUUAUAGACAACUUGUUGACUAUGAUUUGUCUUGUAGCUUACUCGCUUAUGUUAUUUUACCUACGCUUAGGAUGUUGAAGUCAUCGUAUCGCGC